rnacentral:rRNA from 1 species
AAUAUUGGACAAUGGGCGCAAGCCUGAUCCAGCCAUGCCGCGUGAGUGAUGAAGGCCCAAGGGAANUCAAGCUCUUUCACCGGAGANGAUCAUGAUGGUAUCCGGAGAAGAAGCCCCGGUCAACUUCGUGCUAGUAGCCGCGGUAAUACGAAGGGGGCAAGCGUUGUUCGGAUUUACUGGGCGUAAAGCGCACGUAGGCGGAUUGGGCAGUUUGGGGUGAAAUCCCGGAGCUCAAAUCCGAAACAGACUUUAAUAAUGCAAAUCUAGAGACCGAGAGAGGUGAGUGGAACUCCUAGAGUAGAGGUGGAAUUCGUAGAUAUUAGGAAGAACACCAGUGGCGAAGGCGGCUCACUGGCUCGGAACUGACGCUGAGGUGCGAAAGCGUGGGGAGCAAACA